CAGGCCUAACACAUGCAAGUCGAACGAAGGCUUCGGCCUUAGUGGCGCACGGGUGCGUAACGCGUGGGAAUCUGCCCCUUGGUUCGGAAUAACAGCGAGAAAUUGCUGCUAAUACCGGAUAAUGACGUAAGUCCAAAGAUUUAUCGCCGAGGGAUGAGCCCGCGUAGGAUUAGCUAGUUGGUGUGGUAAAGGCGCACCAAGGCGACGAUCCUUAGCUGGUCUGAGAGGAUGAUCAGCCACACUGGGACUGAGACACGGCCCAGACUCCUACGGGAGGCAGCAGUGGGGAAUAUUGGACAAUGGGCGAAAGCCUGAUCCAGCAAUGCCGCGUGAGUGAUGAAGGCCUUAGGGUUGUAAAGCUCUUUUACCCGGGAUGAUAAUGACAGUAUCGGGAGAAUAAGCUCCGGCUAACUCCGUGCCAGCAGCCGCGGUAAU
rnacentral:rRNA from 1 species